rnacentral:lncRNA from 1 species
ACCGGUUGCGAACCCACAGCGCCGCGGAGGGAACGCCUGCGCCUCGGCCGGACACUAAGAGUUAAGAUGUGGCGGAGGGGGUGGCGGGGGAGGGGCGGAGAGGAGAAAGUGGCGAGGGGGAGGGAGGCGGGGGGGGGGGGGGGGGGGGGGCGACAGAUUUCCAGCUUCUACGACGCUCUGCCUAAAUUAAAAAGCAACCAAUCGGAACGGCCGGAAGGGGGGCCGCGCGUCCUGAGCCAGUCAUUCCGGGCCUGCCAAUCACCCAGCGGGUAGCCAAUCAGCGGGGGCCCUGGUGCUCGACUUCCUUGUAUUUGGGAAAGUGUGGUGGUGGGUGCGCGCUCGCGGCGGAGGGUAAACAUUCGACAGUCCCUGCUCUGAGAGGGAGGGACAGAGAGCGAACUGUCAGAUCCCUGCGAGAGCGGGCGGGCGAGCGAGGGAGAGGGAGUGAGAGAGAGAGAGAGAGAGAGGGAGGGAGAGGGAAAGUGAGAGAGGGAGAGAGCGCGAACGAGGGCGCAGAGCGAGCUCCCGCUGCAACUCCGCUCCGGCUCGGCCAGCGCCAGCGCCGUCGGUGCACUCUACGAGCCGUGCAACGUGCCCACUGGAGUUGGUUGUGUAUCAAGGAUCCCCUAUAUGCACACACACACCUCCACCUCCACCAAUGCACUCUUCUUCCUCCUCCUCCUCCAGACAACUGCUGGGAAAAAAAUAAAACACCAACCCCAACCGUCAGCAACAAGAUAAAGAGAUUUAGAAGGACUGAGCACCAGCCGCUGCACUCCUCUGGACUUCUCUCCUCAAUCCGUUGCCAACUUUGA